rnacentral:lncRNA from 1 species
GACCUGCAGGUUUCUCUUGGGUAAUUGGUGCAGCUGUGGGUCUUUGAGAGCACAAUAGUUUUUGUCUGUGUUUACAUCGGGUCUCGAUGUGUUUGUAAAAAGCAUUGUAUAGUUAUGCAAAAUAAACCUCCUACUAUGGUGUUUCAUGAUGGAAAUACGUGUCAACUACAUUCUCCGGUUCAUCACCUCCGAGGGUCUACAAUCAUUAGACGGAGCUGCACUCACACAAACUUUUUCUCUUUUCUACAGAAACAUACAUGACACUAGUUUGUCCAUUUUGGGCUACUGUAGAAACUCAGAGCUAACAGACGGUGGACUCUGUGACCUCCUUCUUGUGCAGAUAUAAAAAGCUCUUUCUUUCUCAGCUAACAAAAACAGAAUGUUUUUUUUAAAGUCGGGUGAUUAUGCACUAAUUUAUACACACUUGUGGAAAUCAUAUAGCAUUUCUACCAAGUUUGUUCUGCUAAAUGUUGCUGAAUACUGCACACUGUGCCUUUAAAAUGAAAUUAGUCACUUUGGAACAGCAUCAGGGUGCCGCAUUAUAAUGUAAUCCUUAUUGUACAGAUUGAGGUCGUAGUUAUUAUUAUUAUUAUUGAGGGAAAAUUGAAGGUCUGAGUGACUUUGUUCAAUUUUAUACAGUCUGCCAGGAAAUGAACCACUUCAGACUUGGACCACUAGCCACUUUGUGAACUCAUAAUUCCCUCCUAUGUAGCUGCAGUGUUUUUUAACUUUAAUAUACAUUUAAUAUAGUAUGGUCCCUUAAAGGCACUCAUUAAUCCAAAUAUUACCCAGGUUAUAAAAAGUAUCAAGGCAAAUGAUGCAACCUCGCUUUAAGUAAGCCCACAUGGCAAAUAGAGGGGGACACUCUUCAGUGUUUAGUUGGGACCACGGUGAAAGACACGGUUCUGUCACGCUGGGAGUGUCUGUGUUGUUUAGUGUCUCCACCACCUGGGGUUGAUGGGAUAUUUACUGAGCGUGUGGGGUGGAUGGAGUGAGACUAGAGGGUGGCCAGGCGCCCCGGCUCCUGCGACUAACAUGUAUGUUCAGGGACUUCUGUAUUUUUAACAUGUGAUGUGUUUUGGGGGAGUGCAUGAAAGUGCAAAUAUUUUCCUAGCUGAUUUUCUGUCAGCAGCUUUCUCCAAAACGAGGAUCUGAUUCACUCUGUCAUGGAUGAAAAGGUCCUUUCAGAGUGACUGCGGGUUAGCUCUGAGCAACUUUAGUGUCAGAUACACUAAAACACAAACACCGAGGACUUUUUAAAACUACACUCUUGUCCUGCUUCAAUCCAAAGGCUCACGAUGAAGCUUUUUUUUUUCACCCCGGUUCGUUUAUAGAAACAGUAUUUCAGUCGCAUUAUAGCCCAAUAAAUACACUCUAAAUGAAAGCCCCUGACCUCUUUUUGUCUGGCAUUAAUGUGGAAGCUGAUUGUUGAACACACACCAAGCCCUGUUCUUUUACUGCCAGCAAAGCUUUCUGCGUUUGACUCCUGUUGCUAGGCAGAUCUCAAACAUUUAAACACUGAUUUAUUCAUCCACAUGAAAAAUCUCCUUAAACGAUGUGUAGGCUGUAAAAGAUGACAAUCGCGGAGAAGUGCUUUAUAGGCGUGUGAAGUGCGAGAGCCAGGCAGGGAGAUGUAUUUCACUUUAAUUUCCUCCACAGACGGCUGCUGUUGCCCUGGCAAAGCGCAGCCGAGGAUGUUAUUGCUCCACUUUUUUGGUCUGAUACUGUAUGUGAUAAGAAAAAUAGUGAGAGUCCUUUGGCAGUGAGGGUACAGAGUGCGGGAUUUAUGAGCUGCUGAAAGUGGCACUUUAACAGAUAUUUUAACUUGUAACUUUAUACCUUUAGAAAAAAACUUCUUACACUGAAAAAAACAAACUUCAAAUCCACUAAUCAAAAAAAGAGAAGGUUAACUUUACGAGAAGAAUAUUAAUCUACCUGGAGUUAAAGUCAGAGAAGUUCGGUCUCCACACUGAGCUUUUUUUCUCUCCACACAGAGGAUACUCUUGAGAUAAGUUAGCAGGCUGCUGAUGUUUGGGGUUUCUGUGUGAUUUGACAGUUAAUGACGCCUUCAGAGGCCGACAUUCCUCCGUUAAAGGGGAAUAUGAGGGGUCGUGGCCUUGUUCCUCCACCAUGGAUGAUUGAACCUUUGAUUUACACAGACUUAUCCUGUCAAAAUAGAGAAUUACAGUCUGGAGUUUUUUUUGAGUAAUCCUUUUAAUUUUUUCAAGAAAGAUGGAAAUCAGUCAUCAGAGUCGAGUCCCAUUUCAAGGGUAUCAGCUUCUUUUCACCUUAUUGAUUCUGGUCCUUACAGAUUCUUGAUGUUCAUACCAUUAUUCUGGGGGAAGAAACAACUUACAUCUAUAGAAUAAAUAUUUGUCAGUACAUUUACAUGCACAGUUAAAUCGAGCAACGGUUUACAUGCACUCAGCAAUAAUGAAACUAUGCUCCUCUUCUACAGUAGGUCCCCUUUUGUUUUCAUGAGGUCCUUUCCCGGUUUACGUAUUAGGUAUCAAAACAGUCAGCAAAAUGCAUUUGAGGCUAAUGAGGUGUACAUGAAUUUUUUUCUGCCCUGACUUCGUCUGUCAAGGUUUUGUUUACUACCUGGUUUCCUAGCAACGUAUCCACGCUAUUCAACCACCAGCUCAGAGCCCGGAGUGCGAAAACCGGGGCGUGCACAGACACUUACGCUGUGUUCCAGUUGUACUCAGAAGUUGAAAUUUCCGAGCUCUGAGUCGGGAUUUCAUCUGGAACGUCCCCCUGAAGUCCGAUUUCCAACUAGAAAAGUCAGAUGAUCCUCACCGACCCCGACCUGACGACAACGUUACAAUCCAAGAUGGCAGCGCAGUGCAUCAACAGUGAAGAGUAACAGUAAAAGCUCUCAUAAUUUAAUAUUUAUUUGCACUUCUGUUUUGUUUUUUGUGAAAUUAAAUAAGUGGUAUAUGUUCUGCUGCCCAACGUCUAACUGUGAACACAGUGCUACGGUGUUUGUAAGAGUAAAAUACUGUGUGAUGUGUUGUUUAUAACUGGUUUAGCUAACAACAGCUGACAAAGGCUAACAACGGCUAACAGUAGGCAUCCAUCUUAGUUUUCCGGGGGUGAUGUCAUUCCCUGGUCCCUCGUCCGACUUCUGAGAUAACUGGAACGCAGCAUUAGGCCACAGAUAUUUUAGUCCGACUAUCGGAAGUUCCCUUUAAUGCGAUUAACUCUUGUCACUUUUUGUACAAAUAGGCUAGCUUAAACAUUUAGCUUUGUCCUAACUAGCGCAAUACAUUUCCUCAAAAGUAAACCGAACGAGCCCUCCUGGAAUAAUGGCUGCAUUCAUACUUGGAACUUAAAUUUGUUCCCAAGCAGCAAGAAACAAACAAUACAUUGUGUUUCCUCCUGAGAAACUUUUUACAAGUGUUGGUAACCAAUUCUGCUAAGCUAACCUGGAAACCUGUUAUUUUUUUUCUCAUUAGAAAAGAGGUGUUUAUAUCACAUCUGCUGCUGUUACCUCCAGCAACAGAGAUACUAGUUGUUUACCGGGGCACCCAUGUCGACUAUUACCCAGGGACACUGAAUGCAGCAAUUAACGCCCUGGGGAGUGCUGUUGUCAGCGUUAUGAGGUGAUUGACAUGAGGCAGACCAUGCCUAUAACAGGUGGGAGUAAAAGGUCAGGAGGGAGCAGGUUUCUGGAAGGGGCUAUUAUCAAACUUGGAGACUUAGAGAGGAAAUUUAAUUUCCUCACCGGCCACUGUUAAACUUGUGUUGGCUACUUGAACAGUAGCCAGACACCAACAGACUUUCACAGCAUAGUUGCAGUGAUAGAGCUCCACAACUGUGUGGGUUUUGCUGCAGCAACCCUCUUGUGAAAAAUUAGUUUAUAGGUUUUUUACAAAUAUGUUUCCCUAAAGUGACUAGCUACUGGUUAAUAUAGUGUGUCCCAGGUCAGAGCAGCUUAAAAAUGAAGUAUUGGCCUUCACAGCUCUCCAGAGACCUGUAUGCCUCUUUUUGUCCAGUAUGCAAGCUGCGGUCCUGCCCUGCGUGUCUAGACAGGGGAAAAGGGAGAAAUAUCCGCCAGCAUGUACCGUAAAAGGACUCUUUCUGAGCGGAGGGAGUUUAAUUACUUUUUCCUUCCCGAUAACCUCUUAUUAAAUCUGACAUUUACCUUCGCUUGCCAAAAAUUAAAACAGAAGACCUACAGUAAAUACUCAAAUUUGUUGGAAAACAAAACAAUUGUGGGCACAUUUUGAUUAAUGCAUUAGACAUUUGUCGACAUGCCGCAGCGAGUCUGGUCACCAAACAGGACUAAGCUCACUUGUUUGGAAUGGGAGACAGCGAAUGUGUCAUCUAAACAUGGUGACUUGUAACACAGCAUAAAGAACCCAGUUUAAAAUCUGACGUGUUUCUCGUCCUGAAAAAGUACCUGAUGUUACUAUUUAAGUCAAUUAAACAUUUCCAAGAGCUAAAGGUCAAUGCCGCUCUUUUUUCCCCCCUCAGUUUAUGAGCUAAGAAUAAACAUCUGCAAAGCAAAGCAGUCACUUAUUACAGUUAAAGGUGCAGUAUCUGUUCAUGAUCGAGGGACUCAUAAAAACAGUCAUAGAUACACCGAAAAAGGUUAGGCGGGGUUCUGCAAACACACCAACAAACAGUUACCUGGUGUUUAUCGAAAUAUAAUCCCAACAGGGUGAGACUAGACCCAGACAUAGAGGGGAUUUCUUGGUUUUCUUCACUUUGGUUGAUGUCUCCUAACAUCGUCUCUAAUCUCUUUUCUCUGCUGAUGAUAUUAAAGAUAUCCUUCAUCCAAUACAGUCAUUUUUUGCCACAUGAUCUACAGGGUGAGAUCAUAAACUUCAUGAAUAUGCUGUGAUUAGAUUUUCUCACUUUCCACAGAUUAAUUUAUCAAUCUGAUAAAGAUCCUUUUUACACAUAGUAAAUACUUAAGUGGGUAAGGAUGCUUAAAAUUGUGGGAGAAAAGGCAAGGUAACAUAUUUAAAAAAAUUAUAAUGAUCUCAAAAUUCAGAUAAAGCUAGGAAUUGUGGCCCACUACCUCAUAAUUUUGACUUUUUAAUCUGAAGAUUAUGAUUCAUCUCAAAAUUAUGAUUGACUUUCUCAUAUUCAUGAUGCACUACUUUACUUUUUAUCCCGAAAGUAAUACUGACCACACCAUAAAUUUGACAACUAAUAAAAUAAUUGUGCCUUAAAUCUUUAAAUUAUGACUUACUAUCUCAUAAGUUUAAACAAUCUAAUAAUGUUGGCUUUAUUUUUCCAUGAUUGGGACUUACUGUCGCUCAAACUUGACAUUUAUCUUAUAAUUUUUACCUUUUAAUCUCACAGUUAUGACUAACUCACUCAUAAUUUUGAUUUACCUCAUAUUUAAACCUUUAAUUUAAUCAUUUUGAUUCUCUUUAUUGUAUAGACCUCUCAUACUUUUGAAUUAAUUACUACUCACAAUCCUGUUAAUUGUACUUAUUCAAAUAAUUGUGACUUUUUAUCUAAUAAGGAUGAUUAACUGUUUCAUAAAUUUUGACUUAUCUGGUGACAAUUCUGGUCACAACAACUUUUUACUACUUUUAAAUCUCAAAAUUAUAACCAACUUUCUACUUAUUUGGUCGUAGAUUUUGACUUUUAAUGUUAAUUAUGACAUACGGUCUCAUAAUCUAGACCUUUCUCAUAAUGUGAAUAUUCUAUCACAUAACAAUGACUUUAUACAUCAGAAGUGUGACUUAUUGGGUAGCUCUGGCUCAGUGGAGUUAGUUGUCUUCCAGUUGGAAGGUCAGGGGUUUGAACGAUCCUAGGGCCAAAGAAUCUUUGGGCAAGACACCCUUACUGGCUGCCAUUUACUAUAUAUUUUUCACUUCAUAUCUUUGAUCAACUUUCCCACUACAUGACUUUCUUUCUUUUAAUAUUUUCAUUUUCUAUCCUGUACUUAUGACUUAAUAUCUAGUUUUCUUUUCUUUUUUUAAACUAAGGGCAGCGUCUCUUGUUUUAUUUUUUUCCAUUUACCGGCAGAGAUUCCUAUUGGGAGGUUUGGACACAACCAUUUCAGUUUUUUAAAGUGGUGAAAUGACGAUAUCAGCCAAUUAAUCAGAAGGAGAGGACUGAAGUGAAAUGUGAAAGUAUUACUUGUUCAUACUGUCUGACUGUGCUCACUGUGUGGCCCGGUGUUAUUAAAGGACCACAAAAGGAAACUGAGAAAGAGAAGCACAAAUCAUCGCUGGUACAGCAAAUUAGCUCCCAACUAAGGUGAUCUGAAUGUGUCAGUGUUUCUCCCUCCAUGUCAGUAUUGUACUCAGCCAACCCAGACAGAUCAACUUUCACUCAUUACAGCAUUUUUAGCUGACUGACAGCACUGAGCAGACCUUGUCCUGCUUCCCCUCUCCA